rnacentral:rRNA from 1 species
GACGAACGCUGGCGGCGCGCUUAAUACAUGCAAGUCGAACGAGAAGCCAGAGCUUGCUCUGGUGGAAAGUGGCGAACGGGUGAGUAACACGUGAGAAACCUGCCCCAAAGAUUGGGAUAAGCCUUGGAAACGAGGUCUAAUACCAAAUACCUUCUUUUUAACACAUGUUAAAAAGAAGAAAUGCUCCGGCGCUUUGGGAUGGUCUCGCGAUCUAUCAGCUUGUUGGUGAGGUAACGGCUCACCAAGGCAUCGACGGAUAGCUGGUCUGAGAGGAUGUCCAGCCACAUUGGAACUGAGACACGGUCCAAACUCCUACGGGAGCAGCAGUAGGGAAUCUUGCACAAUGAGGGAAACCUUGAUGCAGCGACGCCGCGUGCGGGACGAAGGCCCUAGGGUUGU